rnacentral:ncRNA from 2 species
ACCGUGGCUUUAGAUUGUUAC